rnacentral:lncRNA from 1 species
AAGCAGAGUACCCAGAGUGGUUGGAUCAGUUUGUUUCUGAGGAAGCAUUCGAUUCGGAUUCGAGGACGAAUCCAUCCCAAGGGGGGGAGACUUGUCACGCCCCCAAUCCUGAGUAGGAUUGUUGGGACGGCCAUGGUUCGAGGAAACGUGCAAGCCAGUCCUAGGACAUCAAGGCAAGCGUUCCAUGGUCGAGAAAGAAGGUUAAGGACAUAAGGAAACUUAGACUUAACCUUAUACAAGCUAAGAGACAGCUAGGACGAGUAAGACGGUAGCUGGACGAAGUGGACGAGUAGCUCGGCCAGCUCAAGGAAGCUAGGUUCAGUUCACUCCAGCUCAGUCCCUACUAGGUCAGCUCCACUAGCUGGACUACUAGCUCACUCAGCUGAGGCAGCUGAGAGUCAGCUCAUCUCAGCUAGACGGACUGUCCGGGCUUUAGGCCGAUGGUCCGGGUCCGGGUCAGUGGCGGGCUGUGAGGUCCGGCCAUGAGGCCAUGGGCUGUUGGGUCUUAGGACAAGGCCAUGGGCUAAGUCCAGGAGGCUUGGGGCGUGGGUUGGGCUUGUGGCCGACCCCAAACCCAAUCAGAAAGGGCGAAGGGGACAACCCUUGGCCGAUGGUGCCCAUUCGCUAGCAAGUCAUGCCUGUUCGUGGGGCAAGACUUACCCCCUCGUUUUCUAUAAAUAUGGGGGCUCUCUGGUCGAUUUCAUUAUCCAAUUCCAGAGUAAAAUACUCAGAGAAACCGUAGAGAGAAAGAAAGACAGAAAGAGAGAGUUCCGGCCAAGAGAAAGGCCGAUUGUGGUGGUGUUGUGUUCCGGCGACUCUGAUCGUUUGAGAACUAACUCCGGUCAAGAAUGGGAGAUCAAGACAAGGAGAAGAGCAUGGAGAACCCAGACGUGGUUCACAAGGUGUGUGAUGGGCCGUGCUCCAUCAGACCGAACGGACGGUCCAUGCGACCGCACCGCGGCUCUGCUCGGUUCCUAAGUCCCAUCCGGCUCUCCUUAUCUGUUUCAAUUCGUUUCUCUUCUCUUCUCUCUGGUUAAACAAGAAAGGUUGUGUUGGUUGAGUCCAAGGGACACGUCCCUAGGCUUUGGCCGAACAUAAUCAAACCGCUAGCCUAGACACGGGUCGGUUAGUGGGAUGAUCCGAUCGCACCAAGACUGGGCGGUUAGGACGAACGGUUGGGAAUGACCCAAAGGGCACGAGUUGUCAAGAGUCACGAGUGUCCAAGAGGCACGAAUGGCCAAAGGGUACAUGUUCCAAACGGUGUCUUUCGGGACAGGUUAGGACCGAUCCUUAUGGAUCAGCCUAUGGCUUGUCUAGUCAAGACAAGGUCACGGUUUGUCUAAGCCAAGGUAGAGUCGCAAGGUCUGACCGGUUGCUAAGCCUUCCGGAUUAGGCUUGAGGCUUACUCGGCCGAUUGGAUCCAGGCCUAAGGCCAGAUCAGGUAAGGGAGUCCGUUGGGCCAUCGAGCCGGACUCCAUUGGCCGGUCGCACCUAGAUUCUAUCCGGUUAGACGGAUUGGUCUUUGGGGACGAUCUGGAUCUGUUCGUGUGUUCUGUUAUCUAUUUUGGACUAUCUAUCUGAUUCUAAGUCAAGGGGUGGUUGGUUGAAUGACUUAGGAUACGGUAGGUAGGUUCAUACGUUUUAUGAUUAUGUUGACUGAGGUUUAUCUAAGUUCUAGGAACCAAGCCAAGCAUUGUAAAAUCAAUCCGGUCUAUUCUCGGUUAUGAUUAAUGCUUAUCUGGUUGUGGUUUCAGGAACUAAAGAUGGUUCUGGUCAAGCCAAGGAGCCGUGAAGGCUCGGUCAGUGAGAGGCUGUGUAACGUGUGGUUAGAUGAUACUAGGGAUGAACUAGUGAUUGUCUAUGAGACUGUUAAGAAGUUGUGUAUUGAAUCUCAUGUUUCUAAGUAAUACAAAGUUUAUACAUUGUUAUUCCGCUGUGCAAUCUGUUCCUUUGUUUAUGAACCUCAUAUUCGAAUAUGACUUAGCAAAUAAAAGACUUAAAAUGGAUCAAACAAGCAAAGAAAUUAAUAAGUAAGCAUUCGUAUCCAGUUGGGUCAAGAGACCAGGAACGGGUCAUACAACACUCAAGAACAAUCUCUUGGAUCAAAUCGGCCAAUCCAAGGUUUGUGUCUCUCUUUCUUCUCUCUCUUGAAUUUUCUCUGUGUUUCUCUCUGUGUGAAAGUGAGUAAAAAUCGACCAGAAUGGCAGAAAUGAGAGAGAGAGGACGACUUAAACUGUCCCCAACCGCCUGGGCGAACAGUUACCAAAAAUCACAUCCCUUCUUCCCAAAACUGUCCCAUAACCGUCCCAUAACCGCCCAUUGGCGGUUUCUCCCCUUUUCUUCCUUUGACAAAUCGAUCACUGAGCCUCAGCUCACACUCUGGAAGCUUGCCCACUCCCUGUCCCAAGCCUAAGACCAAUUUGGUCGAACCGUCCUGCACCCGGACCAACGGCUCGCCCAGUAACCGUCCCGGACUCGUCCACACUGAUCCAAACCAGAACGCACCAUUCACCGGAUUGAGCUGACCUCCAGCUGUUCCCAGCUGAGUGAGCUAGUCCACCAGCUCUUGUGAGCUGAACAGAUCAUGGUGAACUGAAUACUAGCUGAACCGAGCUGAUUGAACUCAAACCAACACUCGUCCAGCUGCCUAAACACUCACUCAAGUCCUUUACCCUUGUUUCCAUCGUAUCCUGGUUAAGUAUCAAUGCACAACCUAAAGCUACCAUCCUUUUUCUUAACAAAUAGGACUGGUGCUCCCCAAGGUGAUACACUAGGGCGUAUGAACCCCUUCUCAAGCAACUCCUCAAGUUGCUUCUUCAGCUCUGCCAUCUCAGCUGGUGCCAUUCUAUAUGGACUUUUUGAUAAUGGGGCCGUUCCAGGUUCCAAUUCAAUGAUGAAUGGGUCAGCCCUAUCCAGGGGAAUGCCCUGUAGUGCCCCAAACACAUCCUGAAAUUCCCGAACCAACGGUAUACCCUCUGGGUCACAGGCCCCUACAACCUCAUCAGUGUAAAUGGUAGCCAAAAAGGCCUCACAACCAUUUCCAAGUAUCCGUUCUACUUGGACUGCUGAAACCACCAAACUACAAGAGGUUGGCUUGAUUCCAUGGUACUUAAUCGGGGGUCCAAACUCGUUCUCAAGUUGCACCCUUCCCCGGUGACAAUCUAGAGUUGCCCGAUAGUUUCCCAACCAGUCCAUGCCCAAGAUCACUUCAUGAUGCUUGAGGGGGACAACAAUCAGAUCUAUAGGCAUCGGCCUAUCCAAGAUCACCACAGGGAUGUCCUUAACCAGACCGAGUGAGUUCAUAACUUGCCCUCCGGCCGCACUCACUCGUUCAGGACCAUCCCAUGUUCCAUACUGGAACAAACCUUUUCCUAUCAUACUUGGACUCACAAACUAUGUGUAGCUCCAGUAUCAAAUAAUGUGUGUGUUUCCCCACACCACCAAUACUUAAGGUCCCUACACAAGACCCAUCAAAGUAUAUCUAUCCAUCCUAGGUUCCAUACCAUGCAAUUCUACUGGAAUUGUAAAAGUAGUAGUCUAGAAUGUUACCAAGGAUCGCUUGGAAAGGCUGAGUCCCAUCCACAUCUUUGGAUAGCUCAUACACACGAGGUGUUGAGGUCUGGCCUCGUCCCGGACUGGCCUGCUAGCCUCUCCACGUCCCUUACUUUGGUUCCUUGCAACUUAGGGCAAUCCCUGCGGUAGUGGCCCUUCUGGCUGCAGUGGUGAUAGGUCCUGGACUCACCCAACGGGCUUGGACAAUCCUUGGCUGAGUGAUCCAUCUACCACAUCGAGUACAGGCACCCAUGGCCUUCCAGCACUCUCCACCGUGGUAUCGACCACACUUAGGGCACUCUGACCUACCACUUGAGGUUUUACCCUCCUCGGUCGAGUCCUUCUUCCCCUUCUUGUCACCACUCUGACCCGAGGAUACCACCACACUCUUCAGCUUCUGCUUACCCUCCUCGGUGAGGUUGGUCUCCAGCAAGGCCAUCCUCUCAACCAACUCAGAAACCGUGUGGAACUUACAAACAGAACAGUAUGUUCGAAGUUCCACCCUUAGGCCUCGGAUGAACCUUCGGACUUGAACCUUCUCAUCCUCUAGUUCUCUUCCCACAUACCUCCUGAGUUGGUUGAACUCUUCUUCUGCUCACGAACAGUCCUCCGUCCCUGAGUCAAGUCCAGGAACUAGGACUCCAAACGAUCCCACGCCUCAGCAGGAAAGUACUUAUGGUUGAACUCAACCUCAAAGUCAGCAAAGUGCUCAAUGGUACCAUUGGUACGCUUGUCCAAAGCUAACCACCGAUUAUGUGCAUCUCCCUCCAGGAAGUGUACUGCUAUGUCCUUCUUGUAAUCCUCAGGACAUCGUGUGGACUUGAAGUUUCGAACCAACCUGGUUCUCCACUCGUCCGCCUCCAUAGGAUUAACACUUCCAGCAAAGUGUUUGGUUCCCAACUUGGAGAUAUUCUCCAGCACCUUCAGGUAGUCCAUACCAUGCACUGGCCAGAUCGGUGGGUCUAUCUCAAUCACCUCAGCCACACGGCCAGCACCAACAUCAGCCACUCCAGCAGCAACCCUAACCGGGGGAUUAGCCUGUCCCACGGACGAGUUCACCAAUGGUGUGGAACGCCUGUGUCAAGGAGGCUAUCUGAGCUCCCAUGAUCUGCAUAGCCUCCAACCAGCCCUUAUGGUCGGCUCAAUGACCUCCUCGGCACCAGUGAACCGAACAUUGUUUGCAUUUGCAUCAACAUUCUGGCCACUCUCAGCACCAACGUUGGACGACCCAGUAUCGUCUCCAUGGACUUGCUCUUGCUGCUCGUCCACAUUAGUUUUCAUUAACCUCAGUAGGAAGAGUUGGACCCACUGGAAGUCCGGUUGCAUUGUCCACUGCUCCACCAGAGCGGGUAGCACUGGGUUGGAAUGGUUCCAGCUGGUAACACUCCGGUCUGUUCAGCACCAUCCUGUCCCCUUGCUCCAGACGCUCCAGUUGCCUCCUUUCCUUUCCGAGAUUUAUAACCUUCUUGUACCCUUAGGAGUUCGGUCUCCAGGGGCGACUCCUUCUCUUUCUCCUUUGCCUUCUCCUUCUCUUUCUGCCUCAAAUCCAUCCUCUUGAUCACACGCCCAAACACAACCAGGAACACUCAAGAACAAUCUCUUGGAUCAAAUCGGCAAUCCAAGGUUUGUGUCACUCUUUCUCUCUUGAAUUUUCUCUGUGUUUCUCUCUGUGUGAAAGUGAGUAAAAAUCGACCAGAAUGGCAGAAAUGAGAGAGAGAGGACGACUUAAACUGUCCCCAACCGCCUGGGUGAACAGUUACCCAAAAUCACAUCCCUUCUUCCCAAAACCGUCCCAUAACCGUCCCAUAACGCCCAUUGGCGGUUUUCUCCCCUUUUCUUCCUUUGACAAAUCGAUCACUGAGCCUCAGCUCACACUCUGGAAGCUUGCCCACUCCCUGUCCCAAGCGAAGACCAAUUUGGUCGAACCGUCCUGCACCCGGACCAUCGGCUCGCCCAGUAACCGUCCCCGGACUCGUCCACACUGAUCCGAACCAGAACGCACCAUACACCGGAUUGAGCUGACCUCGAGCUGUUCCCAGCUGAGUGAGCUAGUCCACCAGCUCCUGUGAGCUGAACAGAUCAUGGUGAACUGAAUACCAGCUGAACCGAGCUGAUUGAACUCAAACCAACACUCGUCCAGCUGCCUAAACACUCACUCAACUCCUUUACCCUUGUUUCCAUCGUAUCCUGGUUAAGUCUCAGCUGACUGAUGCCCUUAAACUUCAUUCAGGGCCAUGAUACGCUUGUCUCAAGGUCUAAUGACCUGAAUGGUGCGUCUCCCCGCACCAUGGCCCGACCGGGCGAUCCUACAUAGGAUCGGGGACAUGACAGAUGAACACGUCCUAGGCUUCCUCUGCAUCUUGGGAACACACGCAAAUACCUAGGAGAGAAGGGAGAAGGCCGGACUUCACUCACAAAGGCAUGAAUAGCCUUGAAGGUGGAUGCAGUGUAGAAACUGGUUUCAUGGAAGUUCCAUGGAAGGGAUCAGGGGUGCGACCCACGAAUGGAUCUUAUCAAUACAGGAGUUAUGUGAUAAGGGUUGAUAGAGGCGUGCACUGGAGGAGCAUGGCCGAACAUAAUAAGGAAAGGCACAUGAUCUAAUCAGAUCAUGUAUAAGGUAACCGGUUUUAUGAUUACCUUUGAAUUACAAUUCUGUUGACUGUGGAAUUGAUCAUGGCCAAGUAUGGCUCGUCCUUGAGGACUAUAUAUUAGGAAUGUUUAUGGUGUAGUCUGUUGGAUCAGGCCUGAUGGCACUGAACCAAGGCCUUGGCCGGUUCAGGAAUGGUGCCCAUGGCCUUGGCCGGGCUGUUCAUGAUCAGGAUCUAUAUGGUCUGCGUCGAUUCUUUGGAAUCUGAUUAUGGGAAUCUCUUAGUUAUGAAUUAUCAUGAGUUUUCAUGUAUUUUAAUCAUUUUUAGGAAUUGAUUUGAUGAUGUCCAGUUUUGGCCGGUUUGGCUGAUUUUGGCCGAGAUCUAUAGGAUCGAGGCCGGUUUCUGCAAAUUCUGAUUAUGGCAUUCUCUUAAUUGGGAAUUAUCAUGAAUUAUCAUGAAUUUUAAUUGGGUUUUUGGAGCAUACUUGGAAGAGGUCAUUUUUGUACCUGAGAGCAUAUUGAUGCUUAUCUGAUGGAGUUGUGUUGGGUUUGGUCAUGUGUGAACCAUUAAUCCGACUCAUGGAGGAGGCACAUGGGUUCCUGGUAUUAGAGGAACCAUGUGGAUUGCAAGGUCCAAUAUGUUUGGAACCAGCAGGAAGCCAUGAAUAAGAGUAUAGCUAGUACUUGAUGGCGUGGACCAUAAGUACUGAGCUUGGGUGUUAUUAUUCAAGGAAGGCCGUGUGUGAUCUGAUCAUGGGUAAGGAUGGACGACCUGAUCCAUAGAUGAUGGAUCAAGGUGUCUGAUCUGAUUGAUCAAAGGAUGCACCGGUGGUAAGAGGAGGACUGAUCGGCUUCGUUGGGACAUGGUUCCAUGGCCGGUUAGGUACGUGUGAAGACUCAUCAGUUCUGGGUCAAGUAGGGUGGUUGGUUGAUUGACUCAGGAUCUGAUGGGCGUUGUUAGUCCAUGAGCUGGACUUGGUAUCAUAAGUUGAUAAGGCAAAAGGAUGUGGGACAGUGCAUGAGCAGGUAAAGGCCAGAUGCAAGUCCUUAGCUGUUUGAAGACUUCUCAAAGGUUACUUAUGUCUGUGGGGAUGGUUGGCUGAAUGACGAAGUACCUAAAGGAGUUAUUUUGUGUUUGUAACGGAGCUGGAUGCAGUAUAUGGCAGCUGGCCAUAGCUCGGUCCUAGCACAGAUCGAGUGUAACAGCUCGAUCAGCUGGUAUAUGAGUUAAUUCAGCUAGAGUAGCUGGGCCGAUGAGCUAACAAGCUCCGUGGAUGUGGCAAAGGUAUGAUCUAGCAAUGUUGCAUAGAUCUAGAUAGAAUGGUCAGGGAAAACGAAACCUCAGAUUUGUAUGACUUGGUUUGUGUUCAGAAUCAACCUUGGAGCUAGCUGGUAGUUGAGUAUACUAACCAUUAGCUGAGGUGAUUCGACCGGACAAGUAUUAGAUUGGAUUUAGUCCAAUGGAUGAUAGAUGUUAUUCUGCUGUGCAUAAGUUGAAAUGAUCUAAGCUAGGGAAUGACUAAGGUAGUCUUGAGCUAAGAUCUAAGUUAGCCCUCGCCUAUGGGCGAUGUUUUUAAAUAAAGGGCGAAAUUUUUAGUGAUUUGGUCAGUGUAUGGACCGAGCGACGUGAGGCAUCGGCCGCGGCCUAGUCGGCCAGGAUCGGGACUUUCAGUUCGGGUGAUUUUGGCCCACGUGGGCUGUCUGUUCAGUACACACAGGACGUCCGUGGGUGUCCAUCAGCACACACAGGACAUCCGUGUGUGUCCGUCAGCACACACAGGACGCCCGGGGCUGUCCGUGUGUGUCCGUCAGCACACACAGGAUACUGCCCAUCAGUACACAUAUCAGCAUGUUGGUCCUUGGACUCAGCACGUUGACCCUUCCUGUGGACUGUUCGGGUGAUUUUGGCCCACGUGGGCUGUCUGGUCAGUACACACAGGACGUCCGUGGGUGUCCGCCAGCACACACAGGACGUUUGUGGCUGUCCGUGUGUGUUCGUCUGUGUCCGUCAGCACACACAGGACGUCUGUGGCUAUCCAUCAGUACACAUAUCAGCACGUUGGUCCUUGGACUCAGCACGCUGGCCCUUCCCGUGGACUGUCUGUGGGUCUCCGCCAGCAUACACAAGAUUUUCGUGGCUGUCCGUGGCUGUCUGUCAGCACAAACAGGAUGUCCGUGUGUGUCCGUCAGCACACACAAGACGUCCGUGUGUGUUUGUCAGCACACACAGGACGUCCGUGGCUGUCCAUCAGUACACAUAUCAGCACACUGGUCCUUGUACUCAGCACGCUGGCCCUUCCCGUGGACGGUUCAGGUAAUUUUGGCCCACGUGGUCUGUGUGUUCAGUACACACAGGACGGCCGUGGGUGUCCAUCAGCACACACAGGACGUCCGUGGGUGUUCGUCAGUACACACAGGAGAUUCGUGGCUGUCAGUGUGUGUCUGUGUGUGUCCGUCAGAACACACAUGACGUCUGUGGCUGUCCAUCAGUACACAUAUCAGCACGUUGGUCAUUGGACUCAGCACGCUAACCCUUCCCGUGGACUGUUCGGGUGAUUUUGGCCCAUGUAGGCUGUCUGUUCAGUACACACAGGACGUCCGUGGGUGUCCGUCAGCAGUCAGCACACACAGGACGUCUGUGGGUGUCUGUUAGCACACACAGGACGUCCGGGGCUGUCCGUGUGUGUCCGUCAGCACACACAGGACGUCUGUGGCAGUCCAUCAGUACACAUAUAAGCAUGUUGGUCCUAGGACUCAGCACGCUGACCCUUCCCGUGGACUAUUUGGGUGAUUUUGGCCCACGUGGGCUAUCUGGUCAGUACACACAGGACGUCCGUGGGUGUCCGCCAGAACACACAGGACGUCUGUGGCUGUCCAUGUGUGUCCGUCUGUGACCGUCAGCACACACAGGACGUACGUGUCUGUCCAUCAGUUCACAUAUCAGCACAUUGGUUCUUGGACUCCGUACGCUGGCCCUUCCCGUGGGACUGUUUGGGUGAUGUUUGGCCCACGUGGGCUGUCUGUUCAGUACACACAGGACGUCCGUGGGUGUCCGCCAGCGCACACAAGACGUCUGUGCUGUCCGUCAGCACACACAUGACGUCCGUGGCUGUCCGUGUCUGUCUGUGGGUGUCCGCCAGCACACACAGGACGUUCGUGGCUGUCAGUGGCUGUCCGUCAGCACACACAGGACGUCCAUGUGUGUCCGUCAGCACACACAGACGUCCGUGUGUUGUGCUGUGUGUGUCCAUCAGCACACACGGGACGUCCGUGGCUGUCCAUCGGACACAAUAUCAGCACGCUGGUCCUUGGACUCAGCACGCUGGCCCUUCCCGUGGACUGUUUGGGUGAAUUUGGCCCACGUGGGCUGUCUGUUCAUACACACAUGAUGUCUGUUGGUGUCCGUCAGCACACACAUGAUGUCCAAGCAUGUUGGUCCUAGGACUCAGCACGCUGACCCUUCCCGUGGACUAUUUGGGUGAUUUUGGCCCACGUGGGCUAUCUGGUCAGUACACACAGGACGUCCGUGGGUGUCCGCCAGAACACACAGGACGUCUGUGGCUGUCCAUGUGUGUCCGUCUGUGACCGUCAGCACACACAGGACGUACGUGUCUGUCCAUCAGUUCACAUAUCAGCACAUUGGUUCUUGGACUCCGCACGCUGGCCCUUCCCGUGGACUGUUUGGGUGAUUUUGGCCCACGUGGGCUGUCUGUUCAGUACACACAGGACGUCCGUGGGUGUCCGCCAGCGCACACAAGACGUCUGUGGCUGUCCGUCAGCACACACAUGACGUCUGUGGCUGUCCGUGUCUGUCUUUGGGUGUCCGCCAGCACACACAGGACGUUCGUGGCUGUCAGUGGCUGUCCGUCAGCACACACAGGACGUCCAUGUGUGUCCGUCAGCACACACAGGACGUCCGUGUGUGUCUGUGUGUGUCCGUCAGCACACAUGGGACGUCCGUGGCUGUCCAUCGGUACACAUAUCAGCACACUGGUCCUUGGACUCAGCACGCUGGCCCUUCCCGUGGACUGUUUGGGUGAAUUUGGCCCACGUGGGCUGUCUGUUCAGUACACACAUGAUGUCUGUUGGUGUCCGUCAGCACACACAUGAUGUCCGUGUGUGUCCGUCAGCACACACAGGACAUCUGUGGCUAUCCGUGUGUGUCUGUGUGUGUCCGUCAGCACACACAGGACGUUCGUGGCUGUCCAUCAGUACACAUAUCAGCACAUUGGUCCUUGGAUUCAGCACGCUGACCCUUCCUGUGGACUGUUCGGGUGAUUUUGUCCCUUGUGGGCUGUCUGUUUAGUACACACAGGACGUCUGUGGGUGUCCGCUAGCACACACAGGACGUCCGUGGCUGUCUGUGUGUGUCCGUGUGUGUCCGUGUGUUUCCGUGUGUGUCCGUCAGCACACACAGGACGUCCGGUGCUGUCCGUGUGUGUCCGUCAGCACACACAGGAUACUGUCCAUCAGUACACAUAUCAGCAUGUUGGUCCUUGGACUCAGCACGUUGGACUGUUCGGGUGAUUUUGGCCCACGUGGGCUGUCUGGUCAGUACACUCAGGACGUCCGUGGGUGUCCACCAGCACACACAGGACGUCCGUGGCUGUCCGUGUGUGUCCGUGUGUGUUCCUCUGUGUCCGUCAGCACACACAGGACGUCCGUGGCUAUCCAUCAGUACAUAUAUCAGCACGUUGGUUCUUGGACUCAGCACGCUGGCCCUUCCCAUGGACUGUUUGGUUGAUUUUGGCCCACGUGGGCUGUCUGUUCAGUACACAGGAUGUCCGUGGGUGUCCGCCAGCACACACAUGACGUCUGUGGCUUUCUGUGGAUAUCCGUCAGCACACAUAGGACGUCUGUGGCUGUCUGUGUGUGUCCGUGUGUGUCUGUGGGGGUCCGCCAGCAUACACAGGAUGUUCGUGGCUGUCUGUGACUGUCUGUCAGCACAAACAGGACGUCCGUGUGUGUCCGUCAGCACACACAAGACGUCCGUGUGUGUCUGUCAGCACACACAGGACGUCCGUGGCUGUCCAUCAGUACACAUAUCAGCACACUGGUCCUUGGACUCAGCACGCUGGCCCUUCCCGUGGAUGGUUCGGGUGAUUUUGGCCCACGUGGGCUGUCUGUUCAGUACACACUGGACGGCCGUGGGUGUCCAUCAGCACACACAGGACGUCCGUGAGUGUUCGUUAGUACACACAGGACAUCCGUGGCUGUCCGUGCGUGUCCGUCAGAACACACAUGACCUCUGUGGCUGUCCAUCAGUACACAUAUCAGCACGUUGGUCGUUGGACUAAGCACGCUAACCCUUCCUGUGGACUGUUCGGGUGAUUUUAGCCCAUGUGGGCUGUCUGUUCAGUACACACAGGACGUCUGUGGCUGUCCGUCAGCAGUCACGGACUUCCCUGCCUUUUAAUUUUUGCCCUUUAUUUAUAAUAUCGCCUAAAGGCGAGAGCUAACUUAGAUCUUAGCAAAAGACUUCCCUAGUCAUUAAUAGCCUAGAUCCUUUCAACAGAUACGCAGCGGAUUAUUCUCUAGGAAACCAUUGGUCUAAAACCAAGCUAACACUUGUCUGGUCGAAUCACCUUAGCCUUGGUCAGUUUACUCAACUACCAAUUAGCUUAAAGGUCCAUGUGGGAACCGAAAUUCACACUGUCGAUUUCCGUUUAAAUAAGGAAACAAGAAAACCCUAGUUUCCCAGAGGACCCGGAUAUCUGUUAAUUACCACACGUCAAGCAAUCAGAACACGAGAACAACAACGAUAAAAAUAAGAAAUCAAAAAGAGAGCAAAGAAGAUCUUAUUCCGAAUCUGCGUAUGAGCGUUUACAACAAGGUAUAAGCCUGGGCUCGAGAGCUGUCGGCGAGAUUCCUAGUUCUAGCAACCCUAAGACGGCUAAACCUAAUUGAGUCGCAGCUCGAAAUAACAAAAACGGAAAAUUGCCUAAAUCGCUCUAAGUGCUAAGUUUGCUCUGAAAAAGUUCCCUCUUCUGCUCCUCGCCUAGGACUCCUUAUUUAUUAGCUCCAAGGUCGGUUUACGCUUUUACUCUUCUGCCCUUAAGCCGUCAUAGCAUAAAAUGGAGAUUUUCCAUUUUUCCCGAUCUUCAUAAUUAUCUUCAAAACUUCCGUAUUUAUCCGCGGAAACUUGACAUUUAUCCUUUCUCGUGGGCCAAGCGUAAACCAUGCUGUGAUUUACGGGCUUUUGGUUAGGAAAAUCGUAGGAUGGGCUUCGAAUCGUGUUUUAGGUCCCUUUGGGCCGUUUUCCGACUCGACACGUUUACUACGAGUUUUCCGCGGUUUCUAAUCCGCGAAGUUUGAUCGAUGAAUUAGAAUAGCGGGAAACAUGGACUGAGCUUGCUACGGUCUUCGGGAGAUAGCAUUCGAAGGUUUGACGAGAACGCAUGGACUGGUGUCGUAUCGAUGUUCGGAAAGGUUCAAUCGCUACACAGCGACCGAGCUUUGGCUCGAGCCCGGUCGCUACGUAGCGACUGUGUGAGACGAGUGCUCGGUCGCUACAUAGCGACCGAGCUUUGGCUUGAGCUCGGUCGCUACGUAGUGACUGAGCCGGGACGAUCGCUCGGUCGCUACGUAGCGACCGAGCUUGGCGUGAGCUUGGUCGCUACGUAGCAACCGAGCGGGACGAUCGCUCGGUCGCUACGUAGCGACCGAGCUUUGGCUCGAGCUCGGUCGCUACGUAGCGACCGAGCGGGCGAUCGCUCGUCGCUACGUAGCGACCGAGCGGGAUGAUCGCUCGGUCGCUGCGUAGCGACCGAGCUUGGCUCGGGUUCGGUUGCUACGUAGCGACCGGACGGCGUUAUACGUAGCACCGAGCUUGGUUUGUUCGGUUUGAAUCCCAAAGGAUACUUCUUCGUAAAAACCUCGUAUGGUUUUUUUUACGAAAAUUACAUCUCUUCUUUUACUAACUCUUUCGGAAAUACGAUCUCCGAGGAUUUUCGGGUGGUAAUUCCAUCGUAACCGUUUUUGACCCCAACAGUUAGCCCCCCAGCCCGUUAGGAUCAUGUAUCGUAGGAUCCUAGCGUGCGGUUAGGCAUGUUUGGCAAGUUAGGCGUGAUGGAUGGAAUUAAUAUCCGAAAAUCCGAGCUUGAAUAGUAAAUCCUCAUGUCUUAUAAGAAGAGAGGUAACUUGUUCCAUAAUUUUUUCACUUUCUUGUUUUCUCUAAGAUCUUUCCAAAAAAAACUUUCUAUCUUUCUCUCCACCCUUUUCCUCUAUUCUCUCAAGAGAAGUGUAAAGAUGUCGAGCAAGAAAAAGGUUGCGAAAAAAGGGUCUUCGUCCGCGAGUCCUUAUGAAGAGCUCGUCGUUCCGAAGAUGGAGUUCGUGCCUGACUCGGUGCAUCCUGCCGAGAACGAGGCAUGGUGGGUUGCUCAUUAUGGCUCAUUGACCCCUCCCAAGGAGAAGCCGUUCCCGGUCCUGGUCCAUCGUGGAGUCGAGGAAGAGGAUGCAAGCAGGACUACUGACGAGUUUCUCGCGACGAUGCGAUCCUUCUACCACAUCCCGGAUGCUGUGGAGUUCCGGGUUCCCUGGCGCGGGGAAUGUGCUAACAACCCCGGAGGUUACUUUACUUGUUAUGAGGCGUUCGUAGUGCGUUGUCGCCUCUGGUUCCCCAUACCCGAAAUUCUCGUCCGAGUGUUGGACCGUUUCGAAGUUGCCAUAAGUCAGUUGACACCCCUUGCCAUUCAGCACCUUAUUGGGAUCCUGAUCCUAAGCUACGAGCACGACCUUUCCCUUUCCGUCGAUCAUUAUGAAGCGCUUUUGAGGCUUCAACUUGUCAUGGGUACGGAUAAGCAUAGGUUGGUCCCUCGGAAAUUUAUGUCAGUGGUUAAGAAGUUUAUUUCGAACUUCAACUCGUGGAAGAAGUUCUUUUUCUUUGUCCGUAUAGACGCUGCAUCCGUCGAAGAGAGUUGCAUUCCAUUGUUCCGGAGGUUGCCGAAUGAUCGUCCCUUCAUCAACCCUUUUGCUCUGUUCCCCGAGGACAUCAUUUCGGUGAGAGAUCUUCUCAGGAAUGGUCCCUUCUUCUAGACUUCUUUUACGCCGAAGAGGGUUCGGAAGGCACUGAGAUUUGUGCAACCCGGUCCUGCUUUGGAUGCGGACACGGGAAGCGACUCCGAACCCGACGACCAGAAUCCCGUCGAAGCUCCGAAAGCUGCGCCGGAGUCGAGCUCUUGGAAGGGAAAAGAUGUCGAUCUUGGCGACAUAGAGUUUUUGAUGGAUGACUCUAUGCUUCCAGGAUGGGAUCCGAACCUUGCUUACAGCGACGGGAGCGGUUCGAGCGAGGCCCCUAUUCCGGAUUUCGAUGAUUUCUUUGCUGGGCUGCCAUUGGGUUUCGAUGCUCCUCCUCCUACGAAAGAAUCGGCGAGGCCGAGAGUCGUUGCGGAAGGAUCUCGCAUCAUCAAUGGGGUUAGUUUUUUUUUAGAAUUUUUUGAUGAUGGUCCCAUGUAUAUAUUUAUAACAUGCCAAUCGAUUUUGCAGGGCCUGAGCUUGCUGGGCUCGGCCAUUGAGGCGGCCAUAGAGAAGCCAUGGUCUACCGUUUCAAGGCGGAGAAAGCGGAGCGGGAUCUUGCUCGCGUGCAAGGCGAGAGAUGCUGGAGCGAGAGGCGCAGCUUACUCGUGAUCAUGCGCGGGCUGUUCGUAAAGCGGAGAGGAAAGGCAAAAGAGAAAUCGUCGAGGUGAUGAAGACUCGUGCAUCUCAGUUCCAGGUUGAGUACGGGAACCUCAAGAAUGCCUUUACCUCGGUGGGUGACUUUCGCGAGUGCCGUGGUUCGGUCGGAAGUCUUUGGAGGAUGCGAGCCGAUGACUAUGUGUUUGAAGAGGAAAUGAGCUUGAUGAAGAGUGGGAUGAGUGACCAUGCCCACGCUGAGGCGCUUAUCCCUCCGAUUGACGAGAGGAUUCAAGGGUUCUGGGAUUCCAUCCCGGUUUCCCCUGAUACCGAGGAGGUUCCGACCGAUUUUCACGAUGGUGGCGAGGAAGUGGAUCGUCCCGCGGAUGCGUUUGGUGCUUCGUUGUCCGGGGACUUUGACUUUGGAUUAUGAGGGAUGGAUCAGUUAUCCUUGUUUUCGGCCGAAUGUGGCCCUUUGAAUUUGGAUUUCGUUUAGGCCUCGAUGGCCGUAUUUGUAUUUCCGGGACUGGCCGUUGGUGGCUUUGAAUCCCUUGCCGCUUUACGCGGUUUAUUUAUAUGAUAAAUGUUUUGUUUCGAGUUUUCCUGAGUAGGGUUGAAGUAAAUACGAGUUGUCGUCUCGUAUGUAGUUCUGAUUAGACGUUCAAUCUGUUGGUUCGUUCGUGAUUUUCGUAAAAAUUUACUUAUCUUUACGAUUUUCGAAAACAUUGAGAUACGAACGGAGAGACAUGGUUUAUGAUCUCGUAUCUUUUAGAUAUCAUGCCUUGAGAUGUUUGAGACCAGAGCGUUAGGGCAAGACCUAGGUUUACUUUCGGUUAAGGUUUGUGCGGUGACUAGCCGGCUAUCGUUUUUCCUGUUGCGAUUUCUUCCUGACUUGUACCGAUUUAAAGUCCGCGAUAUGUUCUCGGCUUAUAUGACUUGUAUGGUACGAAUCGAGCAUCUUCUCAGAAUCAACUGGAAGUGCUAAACCAAAAUUUCGGAUUUUUGUUGUAGCGCGCUUUUGUCCUUGUGCUGGACGUUUUUAAAGAUCAAAACAGUGAUCGGAUUGCGUUUGUUUAAGACGGCUGGUGUGUUCGUCGGGGCCAAUCGACGAACGGGGUGUAAGGUUUUUGGUGGUCGCGUUCGGACAAUUUGUUAGCAUUGUCCUCGAAUUUUAACUUUUGCGACGUCUCACAGUUAUUUCGAGGAUUAUGCGUGUAUUUUUGAAAGAUGAUAAUCUUUACGAUUUUUGGGCCGGAAGGGGCCGCAGACAAGAGUCUUAACGUUUUCAGGCGUGUCCUGAAAGUUUCUUUUUGUUUUUACUGAAUCGUAAACGUUUUCGAUAAGAAAGGACAACGUAUAUUGUAGUAAAGUUUUUGAAGUUUCUAAAACUCGAUUACAAUAAUGAAGAUUUUUCUAAGUGGGAGUAUACGAGUAUACGCACCCACCCCCCGCCUUUUAGAGAGGGGGAUAGCUGAACUCGUCUUUUGACGAGCUGCCUACGUACCCCUUUCGAGGAUCAAGCCAUCUCGUAGUUCUGUUUCAUGCCGCGAGUGUUCUUACUCGGCGGUAGAUGUCGCGAUGUCCGCCUUGACCGUGUCGAUCGUGGCUGGGUCGACGCUAUUUUCCGGAUGUUCCGGUUGAGUUGUUGCGUGGGCUUCGGAUUUAUGUCGAGCCUCGACGUCCGAUGCGUUUGCGUUGAUAGACGGUUUUACUUCGUCUUCUCCCGGGGCGCUUUUGGCUGAAGAUCGAUCUAUCUUCGCGCGUUUGCCGUUCGCAGAAGCCGUGAUUUGUCUUAACUUAUGUUCCGCGAGGAAGCAUAGUCGCGACUGUUUUUGGCAUCCCCAGAUGGCCGCGACUCCGCUCGGCGUUGGGAACUUGAGACCCAGAUGGUAGGUUGACGGAACUGCCUGCAUGGCGUUGAGCCAUGGGGUUCCCAUGAUUCUGUUGUAGAUAGCGGGAUGAUCGACUACCGCGAAUUCGACGAUUUUCGUGAUCUCCUUCGCCAUGACUGGUAAUUGGAUUGAUCCGAGAGUCAUCGAUACUUCGCCUGAAAAACCCGUGAGUGGUUUUGGCGUUGGAAUUACUUCUCCGAGUUCGAUACUCAUCCGCUUGAGAGUGUCGCGGAAGAUUACAUUGACCGUGCUUCCCGUGUCGACGAGUACCCUUCCGACUUCUAAAUCUCGUAUGACGAGAUCUAUGACGAGCGGGUCAUAGUGAGGUUGGUCGAUACCGCCGGCUUCUUCCUCUGUGAAGGUGAUCGAGCAACUUUGGCCGUCUCGAGGAGGAGACCAUGUAGGCCAAUUUGCACUUGAUUCUGCCUUCCGUUGGUAAGCCUUGAUGGCCGACACGGUAUCGCCGCAGUAUUGUGAUCCUCCAAUGAUCAUAUUGACUCUGCGACGAUUGUUAUCGUUCCCUUUGUCAAUCCGGCCUCCUACGCGUUUAUCCCCAGGAUGGUUUCGUUGAGGGGAUUUUUUCGGCGGGCGGAUUUCUAUCCGUCUUUGGAGGCCGAUCAGAAUCGAGGAUGAGAUCCUUGACGCUAGUUACUUCCGAAAGCUCUCCAGCGAGUAGCUUCGCGGCCAGUCUUGCUCCCAAGACUUUGCAAUUGGUCGUGGAGUGUCCUCGGGAUUGGUGGAACUCGCAGAAGGUGUUUUCGUCAUACCCUUGAUUGCGAGUCCAUGUGUUGCCCGUGGUCCGGCCUUGAUCCGAACUGAUCGCAUAGUUAUGCGCCCCUUGGAGAUCUUCCCCCUCGCGAUGGACAUACUUGUCGUUACGAGAGUUCUUCUUUUUCCCCUUCGGAUCUGCGUCUUUCGAGGAUGGUCUUGCCGGCUUAUGUUUUUGCGAUAAGACUUUAGUUUCUUCCUCGACUAUGAUGUAGUCCGUUGCUUUGUGGAGGGCAUCCUGGAUCGUUCGUGGUUUGUCGAGAGUUAUCCAUUUUCUGAAUUUCGACUUGUACCAGAGCGUCUUUCUCAGAGCGUCGAUGGCCACUUUGUCGCUUAUCCCGCUGACCCUGGACAUUAUCAGCUUGAACCGACUGAUAAAUUCGCGGAGGGGUUCGUCUUCCCUCUGGGAGAGACUCCAGAGGUUCAACAUCGGAAGUUUCCCUGUCUAUGAAUACAGAGUACUGUUUGAGGAAUUCCGAUGCGAGCUGUCGAAAAAUCCCGAUGGUGUUGCGACGAAGGCGUGCGAACCAUUCGAGCGCUGCUCCUUCGAGAUUUCGACGAACAGGCGGCAAUAGCCGGCAUCUUUUUCGUCGUCUUCAGUCUUGCUCUUCCCAUCGCGAUGUGGAAAGCCUGAAGGUGCGCUUUUGGAUCGGCCGUACCAUCGUACUUCGGUACUUUGAUCUUUCCGGAUCGGACACCCUCAUGUCCGAAAGCGACUGGUAAAGGGGGUCUUUCGAGCUCCUUCCAGCAGUCGAUCGAUCUCGGGGGCAGCACUGGUAGCAUGAUGGAUUUGAGACUUUACGGCUCUCACUUCUGCCGCAGUCUUAGUGAUGUAGUCGCGAAGAUCGCGGAUAUCCGAUGUCUCGUCAGUAGAUUUCCGAACCUCCAUUAAGAGGAGUUUGCACGUUAUCCGCGUCGUUGGUUGACAUGUCAGAUUGUGUGUGGCUUUUGCGGGUUAGAUUGAUCCGUAAGUCACCCCUCCUUCUAGCGCCAAACUGUGGGAACCGAAAUUCACACUGUCGAUUUCCGUUUAAAUAAGGAAACUAAAAAAACCCUAGUUUCCCAGAGGACCCGGAUAUCUGCUAAUUACCACACGUCAAGCAAUCAGAACACGAGAACAACAACGAUAAAAAUAAGAAAUCAAAAAGAGAGCAAAGAAGAUCUUAUUCCGAAUCUGCGUAUGAGCGUUUACAACAAGGUAUAAGCCUGGGCUCGAGAGCUGUCGGCGAGAUUCCUAGUUCUAGCAACCCUAAGACGGCUAAACCUAAUUGAGUCGCAGCUCGAAAUAACAAAAACGGAAAAUUGCCUAAAUUGCUCUAAGUGCUAAGUUUGCUCUGAAAAAGUUCCCUCUUCUGCUCCUCGCCUAGGACUCCUUAUAUACUAGCUCCAAGGUCGGUUUACGCUUUUACUCUUCUGCCCUUAAGCCGUCAUAGCAUAAAAUGGAGAUUUUCCAUUUUUCCCGAUCUUCAUAAUUAUCUUCAAAACUUCCGUAUUUAUCCGCGGAAACUUGACAUUUAUCCUUCCUCGUGGGCCAAGCGUAAACCAUGCUGUGAUUUACGGGCUUUUGGUUAGGAAAAUCGUAGGAUGGGCUUCGAAUCGUGUUUUAGGUCCCUUUGGGCCGUUUUCCGACUCGACACGUUUACUACGAGUUUUCCACGGUUUCUAAUCCGCGAAGUUUGAUCGAUGAAGGUUCAAUCGCUACACAGCGACCGACUUUGGCUCGAGCCCGGUCGCUUACGUAGCGACUGUGUGAGACGAGUGCUCGGUCGCUACAAUAGCGACCGAGCUUUGGGCUUGAGCUCGGUCGCUACGUAGCGACUGAGCGGGACGAUCGCUCGGUCGCUACAUAGCAACCAAGCGGGACGAUCGCUCGGUCGCUAUGUAGCGACCGAGCGCUCGCAGAACCGAGCGCUUCGUAGGCGACCGAGCUUCGGCUACGUAGUGACCGAGCGGGAUGUCGCUCGUCCGAGCUUGUAGCGGGAAGCGUGUAUACGUAGCACCGAGCUCGGUUUGAAUCCCAAAGGAUACUUCUUCGUAAAAACCUCGUAUAGGUUAUUUUUACGAAAAUUACAUCUCUUCUUUUACUAACUCUUUCGGAAAUACGAUCUCCGAGGAUUUUCGGGUGGUAAUUCUGUCGUAACCGUUUUUGACCCUAACAGUCCAUCCUAAACCCAAACCAAGCCAUACGAUUCUGAGGUUCCAUUCCCCUAAACCAUUCUAUCUAGAUCUACAUAAGUAAAUGCUAUAUCAUACCUUUGCCACAUCUAUGGAGCUUAUUAGCUCAUCGGUCCUCCAUUGACUCAAAUUGAUCUUGCUUGACAGCUGGACCACGAUCACUCAAUGAUCUUACUUAAGGUCCUUAUCUAGAUUCCUGCAUCAAACAACUCCCUUAGGUACUUAGUCAUUCAACCUUUGAGAAGUCUUUGAAAGGAUAAGGGUUUUCAUCUGGCCUUUCUCGGCUCGUGCACAAUCCAAAAUCCUUUUGCCUUAUAGGCAAUAGUACCAAGUCCAUCUUAUGGACUGACAAAGCUCAUUAGAUCCUAAGUCAAUCAACCAACCUUCCUCACAAGACUUGGAACUGAUGAGUCAUCAUCUGGCCUGAUCGGGCUUGGGACAUAACCCAGACAACAGAUAUGACUUGUUCAUACCAACCGAUGCAUUCCUAAAUAAGAUUAGUUCCGACACCUUGAACCAUCAUCCAGAGGUCAGGUCUUCCAUACUCAAACAUGAUCAUAUCUUACACGGCUUUCCAUUAACAAUCACACCUAGGCUUAGUACCUAUGGUCUACGACACAUAAUACUAGCCAGACACUUCGUCAUGGCUCUUAGCUAAUACCGAAGCUAUCAACACCAAGGUUGAUAUAUAGAAGCAUCACACCAAUACUCUUACUCCAGAAACGUGACUAUCCAUACUAGUGCUCGGCCAUCGAACCAUCGUCAUGAAACAUGAUCCGACCACUAGACUUGAUAAGCCAUCGUCCACUUAGCAUGUACUGACAUAACCGGCCUUCCAUUGCCAUCAUGUGGGUGUACGCCCUAUAUAAGGCAUAUGGCGCCUAUCCUACUCACCAACCCGAGGUUGAUUGUAAGAUAUCCUACUUAGCCUUUGCGACUAGAACCAACCAACCAUAGUCGGGAUCGUCCAUAGUCCCGUCUAACCGUCUGGUUAAGAGUUAGGUGCGAUCGGCCAGUUAUAUGUCCAGCCCAAAGUCUCACGGACCUUCUUACCUGAUCCGACCCAAAGCCUGGAUCCAUACCACAGAGUAAGGCCGAAGACCAAACCGGAUUGCCUUGCAACCGAUCAGACCUUGCUGCGCAACACUCCAGUUAAACUAACCGUUCCGUCCGUUCGACAAUGCAGCCGCGGACUGUCCACUUGGUUCGGCCUAAGCCUUGAACCAAUGGCACCAUUUGGAACUCACACCCUUUGAGAAUUAGUACCCUUUGGACACUCGUGCCUCUUGGCAACUCAUGACCCUUGGCAUCUCGCACCCAUUCAGAUGCUCCAACCGUUCGACCUACCCGUCUGUAUGGACUGUCUGGUCCGUGCGUUUGUCCGGCCUAUGGCCAAAGGAUCACGCCUUAAACUACCCAAGUCAUGAACCAUUGCGACUGCUCAAGGAAGGGUUGCAACCGUUCAGAACAGAACAGAACCGCCCCUAUCCAAUCAGAUCACCUGAGGCCGGUUUAGACCAUGCGCGCGCCUAACUCGUCGGUUAUGAACCGCGACCGCAUUACUCUACCAGAACCACGGUUAUAAAACAAUCCCAACACAUCAACAAGGCCACGCCAAUGUACAGAAGGAGUAGAAGAAGAAUUGGAUGAAAAGAAUGAGAAGAAUAGGACACAAUCCAAACGCCCAUGGCUAGACCAGUUCGGACUGUCCGAUUAUCUUAGCCGAUGAGUCGGUGGUUACCCACUGACCCUAUCUGACUGAACCACGGCUUUGGAGUCCUUCUCCAGACCUUUCUAUAUGCCUUGGGUAUUCAUAACCACACUGCCUCCUCUUUCCUAAACAGUUCUCCUUGCCGGAGAUACAAAACCACCACGACCGGCCCUUUUCCGGCCGAUCUCUUGGCUGGGACUCUCUCUCUCUCUCUCUCUCUACGUUUUUCUCUUAUUUUACUAUGGAAUUGGAUAAUGAAACCAACAGGAGAGGCCCCAUAUUUAUAGAAAACGAGGGGGUAAGUCUUGCCCCACGAACUGGCACGACUUGCUAGCGAACGGGCACCAUCGGCCAAGGGUUGUGCCCUCUCGGUCACUUGCAUCCCAUCGCCCUUUCUGAUUGGGUUUGGGGUCGGUAAUAAUCCCAACCCACGCCCCAAGCCUCCUGGACUUAGCCCACGGCCUUGUCCAAAGACCCAACAGCCCAUGGCCUCAUGGCCGGACCUCACAGCCCGCCACUGACUCGGACCCGGACCAUCGGCCUAAAACCCGAACAGUCCGUCUAGCUGAGGUGAGCUGACUCUCAGCUGCCUCAGCUGAGUGAGCUAGUAGUCCAGCUAGUGGAGCUGACUUAGUAGGGACUGAGAUGGAGUGAACUAAACCUAGCUUCGUUGAGCUGGCCGAGCUACUUGUCUACUUCGUCCAGUUACCGUCUUACUCGUCCUAGCUGUCUCUUAGCUUAUAUAAGGUUAAGUCUAAGUUUCCUUAUGUUCUUAACCUUCUUUCUCGACAAUGGAAUGCUUGCCUUGAUGUCCUAAGACUGGCUGGUACGUUUCUUCGAACCAUGGCCGUCCCGACAAAUCCUUUCUAGGAUUGGGGGCGUGACAAGUCUCCCCCACUUUUAAAGGAUUCAUCCUCGAAUCCGGUGAUGAUUAUACCUUGUCCCAAGACAAAAUAUUCCAACCGAACUUGUUCUAGUCUUGAUUAGAGAAUAGAACAAGCUUGAUUCAAAACCACCAAAUGACCACUUCGACAAUCAAAUUCCUUUGACCAUCGUUAUACAAGUCUCCCCCACUUGAUAAGGAUUUAACCACAAAAAUCCUAUCAAGUGGUCCUUUCUGGUUUCGCUGAUGGCACCCUUACUUGUCUACUUCGACCACAGUCGAGGGUCAAUCAAGCACCCAUUCAAGGGAUACUUGAGAAUCCAUCCAAAGACAUUCCUUGUGUCACUGGCCGAACUCUCCAGGUUGCUGUCCUAGUAUCCAACAAGUCUAUGUCUUUCCUUUGAAUAGCAUCUUCUUCAGAUUUUAUUCUUUCUCUGAUCAUAGUCCAAGACUAGAUCAUAAUCAGUCCCUAGGAACAUGCUGCAUACUUGGCCAAUCCUCACACCACUCGAUGUACCAGUCAAGUCCUCACGAACUUGUUCCAAUCUUUAGGCUGCUCGUCCUAGAACGAGUCCUAACAGUUUGUUAUGGUUCUUUUGUCCUUCAUGGAGAAUAAGGUUCAUGACCUCAGCCACAACGUACUGGAUCAUCCCCUUAACCGGCCAUAACCUUUUCAGGCUCGGCCACAUUGCAAUCUUAGUCCCUCCAGACUAAAAACGCCUCAGACUUGACUUCUGUCCUUCACUGGACUUUGUCAUAAUUCGAUCCUGGUCCUUCCUUGGACUCGAUCGUACUCUGGUCCUGGUCCACUAAGGGACUCGACCGUUUCACCCCGACCAUAGGUCCAUCUCCGAAUAGGUCGUGGCCUGAUCCUUGUCCUUUACUAGACUUGAUCAUUCUCAACCUUAGGUCAAACUCCGACUUGGUUGUACUGCGACCAUGGUCCUCUCUCAAACGUGGUCAACUUCGGCUCUGCCAUCUCGGCCGGAGCCGACAGAAACGGACUCUAGGACAGUGGUGCUGUCCCUGGUUCCAGUUCAAUCAUAAAUGGAUCCGACCUACCAGAGGGGACACUCUGUAGCGAACGGAACACAUCUGGGAACUUGGAGACCAACGGGUCCUCAAACAGAUCUUUCAGAUCAACAGAAUUUGCCGCGCUCCAUAGUGGUAAUUGUGGUCAAAAAAAUACUUCACAAUCCCGUCUAAGCAUCCGAUCCACACGGAAUGCUGACACCACUACUUUCCUUGAAGCCGGACUCAGACAAUGGAUCUCGAUACCAAUGAGAUCCCAGACAGAUCAACAGAAUUGCCGUGCUCCGUAGUGGUAGUUGUGGUCAAAAAUACUUCACAACCCUGUCUAAGCAUCUGAUUCACUUGGACUGCUGACACCCCUACUUUCCUUAGAGCUGGACUCAGACUCAGACUUUGGUACUGGAUCGGGUGAGGUCCAGUCUCCAAUUGCACACGAACUUUGUGGCGAUCGAGAGUGGCCCGAUACUUUCCCAAACAGAUUCAUGCCUAGGAUCAUCUAGUGAUUUUUGUAGGCGCGUGGAUAUUUUCUCGAUCAGAUCUACAGGCAGAUUUCUCUUUUGGAUCAUCACCGAGAUAUUUUUCAUGAGCCCUAGUGAAUGCAUAAUUUGCACACCGGCUGCCCUCACUAGUCUCGAAUCAUCCCUAGAACUCAGACAUAACAGACUCUUUCCAACCAGUCCUGGACUCAAAAAACUAUGUGUAGCCUCUGUGUCGAAAAGUACGUGUGUUUCCACACCACAAAUCCACUUGUGGGAACUAUCUCAGUGCAUGCCCACACCACAAAGAACGUCCCAUACAUCCCUCAUGGUAUUGCCAAUGACUUCAAUACUUCCACUUCUAAUGGAUACCUAGAUGAGUAAGAUCUUGGUUUGACCACACACUUGGAAAACGUCCCAUACCAUUCUCCAAAGCGUCUUACUUUUGCGAAUGCUCACACCAUUCACAAGAGCAAUUUUUAAUAUACCUCAAUCCCCAUCAUACUACGGUACUUAAGAUCAUGUUCUUCCAUUGAUUGGAACAAACAUCAUGAGUUUCCUCAUUUUUUUUUCCUUGGACGGAUUCAGAUUGGAAUUAGUUCAUUCCAUCCAACUAGAUCUAAGGAAACCUACCUUGACUUAUACAGCGUCCUAACUGAUCCAUCUGAUCACAAGUCCACUCGUGUACUGGUCAUGUAGUGUCUUCUUUGAGUCAGAUUUAACAUUGCAUAUGAUUUACUUAUUAUAAACGGCCAUCAAGGGAUAACACUUAACUUCAGUAGAGUGCCACGUUUAUUUCAACUUAAGCCACUCUCUGGUCCAUGUUACUUCCCUUGUCCAGGUAAUCCAUAAACAAGUUUUGCAUUGCUUUCAUCCCUUCCAACCCGUCUAUUACUUCUAAAUAACUAGAUCGACCAACAUUUCAGUUUUGAGGAUCUUGCCCUUGGAAAAUGUAUCUUGGCUAAGCCGGUUCAUCUUAAAACUCCCACAUUCACAAGCAUGAUACCCUAGCUUACCUCAACUCUUUCUUGGCUCACCCCAACUAAGGUUUCAUAGUCAUCAUAGUUUUCAGAAAUAAUUGGGGUUUGGAAACCAACAUCUUAGAGCGUUGUCCUAAACAGGAUCAAGCAUGCUCUGAUACCAACUUGUAAGACCCGAUCCUGGCCACCUAGGCCGCCGUCGAUGCCUCACGUCGCUCGGUCCACUUCCUGGCCAAACCUCUUAAUUUUUGCCCCUUAUUUAUAAUGUCCCCUAAAGGCGAGGGCUAACUUAGAUCUUAGCUAAAGACUUCCCUAGUCAUUAAUAGACUAGAUCCUUUCAACAGAUACGCAGCGGAUUAUUCUCUAGUUAACCAUUGGUCUAAAACCAAUCUAACACUUGUCUGGUCGAAUCACCUUAGCCUUGGCCAGUUUACUCAACUACCAAUUAGCUUAAAGGUCAAUCCUAAACCCAUACCAAGUCAUACGAUUCUGAGGUUCCAUUCCCCUAAACCAUUCUAUCUAGAUCUACAUAAGUAAAUCCUAGAUCAUACCUUUGCCACAUCUAUGGAGCUUAUUAGCUCAUCGGUCCUCCAUUGACUCGAAGUAACCAUUCAACUCAUCGAGUCUCUUAUUGGUCUUUAUCUUUGUUCCUGCAUUAAACAGCUCCCCUAGGUACUUAGUCAUUCAACCAACCAUCCCCACAGACAUAAGUAACCUUGGAGAAGUCUUUGAAAGGAUAAGGGUUUGCAUCUGGCCUUUCUCGGCUCAUGCACAAUCCGUAAUCCUUUUGCCUUAUAGGCAAUAGUACCAAGUCCAUCUUCUGGACUGACAAAGCUCAUUAGAUCCUAAGUCAAUCAACCAACCAUCCUCACAUGACUUGGAACUGAUGAGUCAUCAUCUGGCCUGACCGGCCUUGGGACUUAACCCAGACAACAGAUAUGAUUUGUUCAUACCAACCGAUGCAUUCCUAAAUCAGAUUAGUUCCGACACCUUGAACCAUCAUCCAGAGGUCAGGUCGUCCAUACUCAACCAUGAUCAUAUCUACGGCUUUCCAUUAACAAUCACACCUAGGCUUAGUACCUAUGGAAGACUUUAGAUAAGCUUUAAGUUAGCCCUUGCCUUUAGGCGAUAUUAUAAAUAAAGGGCAAAAAUUAAGAGGUUCGGCCAGGAAGUGGACCGAGCGAUGUAAGGCUUCGACCACGGUCUUGUCGGCCGGAUCGGGCUAUUACAAGUUGGUAUCAGAACAUGCUUGAUCAUGUUAAGGACAACGCUCUAAGAUUAUGAGUUUCAUACCGAAAUUAUUUCCAAAACUAUGAUGACUAUGAAACCUUAGUUUGGGUGAGCCAAGAAAGAGUUGAGGAACGCUAGGGUAUCAUGCUUGUGAAUGUGGGAAUUCUAAGAUGAACCGGCUUAGCCAAGAUACGUUUCCAAGGGCAAGAACCUAAAAACAGAAAGGUUGGUAGAUCUAGAAUUUAGAAGUAAUAGACGGGUUGGAAGGGAUGGAAGCAAUGCAAGACUUGUUUAUGGAUGACCUGAAAAAGGGAAGUAACAUGGACCAGAGAGUGGCUUGGGUUGAAAUAAACGUGCAGCAUUCUACUGAAGUAAAGUGUUAUCCCUUGAUGGUCGUUCAUAAUAAGUAAAGCAUAUGCAAUAUUAAAAUCUGACUCAAGGGAGACACUACAUGACCAGUACACGAGGGGACUUCUGAUCAGAUGGAUCAGUUUGGACUUGGUAUAACUCAAGGUAGGUUUCCAUUAAUCGAGUCAGAUGGAAUGGAUCAAUUCCAAUCUGAAUCCAUCCAAAGAAAGAAUGAGGAAACUCAGGGUGUUCGUUCCAAUUAUUGGAAGAACAUGAUGUUAAGUAUCUUAGUAUGAUGGGGAUUGUAGUAUAUUAUAAUUGCUGUUGUGAAUGGUGUGAGCAUUUGCAAUAGUAAGAUGCUUUGGAGAAUGGUAUGGGACGUUUUCCAAAUAUGUGAUCGAACCGAAAUCCUACUCAUCUAGGUACCUAAUGGUAGUGGAAGUAUUAAGUGAUUGGCGACGUCAUGAGGGAUGUUAUGGGACGUUCUUUGUGGUUUGGUCAUGAACUGAGAUAUUUUCCACAAGUGGAUUUGUGGUGUGGAAACACACAUACUUUUCGACACAGAGGCUACACAUAGUUUUGUGAGUCCGGGACUGGUCGGAAAGAGUCUGUUCUGUCUGAGUUCUGGGAUGAUUCGAGACUAGUGAGGGCAGCCGGUGGGCAAAUAAUGCAUUCACUAGGGCUCAGGAAAAAUAUCCCGGUGAUGAUCCAAUAGAGAAAUCUGCCUGUAGAUCUGAUUGAGAAAAAUAUCCACGCGCCUACAGAAUCAUGAGAUGAUCCUAUGCAUGAAUCUCUUUGGGAAAGUAUUGGGCCACUCUCGAUUGCCACCAAGUUCGUGUGCAAUUGGAGACUGGACCUCACCCGAUCCAGUACCAAAGUCUGAGUCUGAGUCCGGCUCUAAGGAAAGAAGGGGUGUCAGCAGUCCAAGUGAAUCGGAUGCAUAGACAGGGUUGUGAAGUAUUUUUUUACCACAACUACAACUAUGGAGCACAGCAAUUCUGUUGAUCUGUCUGGGAUCUCGUUGGUAUCGAGAUCCAAUGUCUGAGUCCGGCUUUAAGGAAAGUAGUGGUGUCAGCAUUCCGUGUGGAUCAGAUGCUUAGACGGGAUUCUGAAGUAUUUUUGACCACAAUUACCACUAUGGAGCGCGGGAAAUUUUGUUGAUCUGAAAGAUCUGUCUGAGGACCCGUUGGUGUCUAAGUUCCCAGAUGUGUUCCGCUCGCUACAGGGUGUCCCCCCUGAUAGGUCGGAUCCAUUUAUGAUUGAACUGGAACCAGGGGCAGCUCCGCUGUCCUAGAGUCUGUUUCUGAUGGCUCCUGCCGAGAUGGCCGAGCUGAAGUCGACCACGUCCGAGAGAGGACCAUGGUCACAGUACAACCAAGUCAGAGAUUGACCUAAGGUUGAGAAGAGAAUGAUCAAGUCCAGUAAGGGAUGAGGAUCAGGCCACGACCUAUUCGGAGAUGGACCUAUGGUCGGGGUGAAACAGUCGAGCCCCUGAGUGGACCAUGACCGGAAUACGAUCACGUCCAUAAAUGGACCAGGAUCGAAUUAUGACAAAGUCCAGUGAAGGGCAGAGGUCAAGUCUGAGGCGUUUUUAGUCUGGAGGGACUAAGAUCGCAAUGUGGCCAAGCCUGAAAAGGUUGCGGCUGGUUAAGGGGAUGAUCCAGUACGUUCGGGCUGAGGUCAUGAACCUUAUUGUCCAUAAAGGACAAAAGAACCAUAACAAUCUGUUAGGACUCGUUGUAGGACGAGCAGCGUAAAGAUUGGAACGAGUCCGUGAGGACUUGACUGGUACAUCGAGUGGCGUGGGGAUUGGCCAAAUCUACUAAGGCUCGAGUAUGCAGCAUGUCCUAGGGACUUGUUAUGAUCUAGUCGUGGACUAUGAUCAGAGAUAGAAUAAAAUCUGAAGAAGAUGAUAUUCAAAAGAAAGACAUAGACUUGUUGGAUACUAGGACCGCAACCUGGAGAGUUCGUCUUGUGACACAAGGAAUGUCUUUGGAUGGAAUUACAAGUAUCACUUGAAUGAAUGCUUGAUGGACCCUCGACUGUGGUCGAAGUAGACCAGUAAGGGUGCCAUAAGCAAAACCAGAAGGACCCCCUGAUAGGAUUGUUUGUGGUUAAAUCCUUAUCAAGUAAGGGAGACCUGUACAACGAUGGUCAAAGGAAUUUGAUCAUCGAACUGGUUUUUGUUGUUCUGAAUCAGGCUUGUUCUAUUCCCUGAUCAAGACUAGAAUAAGUUCGGUUGGAAUAUUUUGUCUUAAGACAAGGUAUAAUCAUCACCGGAUUCGAGGACGAAUCCAUUUCAAGUGGUGGAGACUUAUCACGCCCCCAAUCCUGGAUAGGAUUGUCGGGACGGCCAUGGUUCGAGGGAAACGUACCAGCCGGUCUUAAGACCUUAAGGCUAGCGUUCCAUGGCCAAGAUAGAAAGGACGUGAGGAUGCUGAGACUUAACCUUAUAAGAGAAAGAAGUUAGCUAGGAUAAGCUGUACAGAAGCUGGGCGAUGCUUACGAGAAGCUCGAUCAGCUAGACGUAGCUCGGUCAAGCUCAGCCUAGCUCGUUCCAAGUUAAAUCAGCUCAACUAGCUGGACUACUAUCUCACUCAGCUGAGGCAGCUGGGAGUCAGCUCAUCUCAGCUCGACGGACUGUUCGAGUUUUGGGCCGAUGGUCCUUGUCCGGGUCAGUGGCGGACCAUGAGGUCCGGCCAUGUAGUCCAUGAGUCGUUGGGCUCUUGUGGGCAGGCCGUGGGCUUGGGUACCAGGUCUUGUCUUGGGUUGGACGUGCCUAUAAGGUCUGAAACCUUCUAUUUCUGAACAGGUACGAUCUGGACCAUUGAUUGUAAUCGAUGGCCAAGAUCUGUCCCAAAAGGAUGCUUCGAAGGGAUGUGACUCUUUGCACAUGAACUUUGGUUCUAUAUAUAAAGGGGAGGACGUCCAGGGAUUAUGAAUUUAUUCUCAUUCAGUCUCAUUCUGUCUGAGACAAAAGACAUACGUCCUAAACAAAGGGAUCCCCCAAUGAGAAACGAGGAUCCAAGCCGGAAGGGCAUAAUCCAGGAUCAAAGCCAUAAGCGCACGAUCCGCUUCAUGGUGAGUAUGGCUUUAGCCAUAUGAGGCCGUGGCUUUUAUAAGUCACUAAGGCCAAUAGGAAGACCUAUUCCUGGAGGGAAAUAGGCGCCAAGGACCAAGGGUCCAAGGGUGGUUAGCCGAGAGACGGACUGACCGAUCGGUAAGGGCUAUCGCGGCUGUGAGUGGUUCUAUCUCUGUCUCUUUAUAUUAUUAUGUCUAUAUGAUAUAUAUAUAUAUAUAUGGAACGUGAUAGUUAACCAUAUUACCACGUUAUAGACCCUGGGGUCAUGGUUGGUUACGUUGAUUGCUAACCAUAGCGGAUAGGUUUGAUCUAAAGGGUACUAGUCGCCAAAGGUUGCGUGUUGCCAAGGGUCAUGAGUUACCAAAGGUUGUGAGAUACCAAAGGAUGCAAGUAACCAAAAGGUACGAGAUACCAAGGGUUGCAAGUAUCAAAGGGUACGAGGACCAAAGGGUACCAAUGACCAAAGGGUGCAUCGUGAUCCCAAGGAUGCAAUGUAUCGUGAUCCAAGAUCUGCGAUCAUGUCAUGAUCCAAGAGGUACGAACGUGUUGUGAUCCAAGAGGUACGAACGUGUCAUGAUCCAAGCGGUACGAACAUAUCAUGAUCCAUCGGAUGUGAAUGGUUCGUGACCGAAAGGGUACAAACGGGUCAGAACUGAAAGGGUACGAACAGAACGGGACCGAAAAGGGUACGAGUGGUUCGAUGGUCACAAGGACACCACAUGCAUUAUGUUAGGCGUGGACCCACAUGAUGGAAAUAGGUUGUCCUACAGGUCAAUACAUGAUUGUAAGGAAAUAGCGAAGGCCUUAAGGAUAGGGCAAUCUGUACAACAUGAUUGAUGUAUGAACCAUAAUCCAUGAUCAAUGGAUGGAUGGUUCUAGCCGCAAAGGCUAAGUGGGAUAUCUUAUGAUCAACCUUGGGUUGGUGAGUAGGAUAGGCACCAUAUGCCUCAUGUAGGGCGUAGACCCACAUGAUGGCAAUGGAAGGCCGUUAUAUCAGUACAUGCUAAGUGGACGAUGGCUUAUCAAGUCUAGUGGUCGUAUCAUGUUUCAUGACGAUGGUUCGAUGGCCGAACACUAGUAUGGAUAGUCAUGUUGCUGGAGUAAGAAUUUUGAUGUGAUGCUUCUAGAUAUCAACCUUGGUGUUGAUAGCUUAGAUUGGCUACGAGUCAUGACGAAGUGUGUGGUACUAUGUGUCGUAGACCACAUAUACUGAGCCUAAGUGUGAUUGUUCAAGGAAGGCCGUGUAAGAUCUGAUCAUGGUUGAGUAUGGACGACCUUAACUCUGAAUGAUGGUUCAAGGUGUCAGUCCUAACCUGAUUAAUGAAUGCAUCGGUUGGUAUGAACAAAUCAUAUAUGUUGUCUGGGUUAAGUCCCAAGGCCGGUCAGGCCAGAUGAAGACUCAUUAGUUCCAAGUAAUGUGAGGAUGGUUGGUUGAUUGACUUAGGAUAUAAUGAGCUUUGUCAGUCCAGAAGAUGGACUUGGUACUAUUGCCUAUAAGGCAAAAGGAUUUUGGAUUGUGCAUGAGCCGAGAAAGGCCAAAUGCAAAACCUUAUCCUUUCAAAGACUUCUGAAAGGUUGCUUAUGUAUGUGGGGAUGGUUGGUUGAAUGACUCAGUACCUAGGAGAGUUGUUUGAUGCAGGAGUCACAAUAAGGACCUUAAGUAAGAUCAUUAAGUGAUCGGGGUUCAGCUGUCAAGCAAGAGCAAUUUGAGUCAAUGGGGGACCAAUGAGCUAAUAAGCUCCAUAGAUGUGGCAAAGGUAUGAUCUAGCAUUUACUUAUGUAGAUCUAGAUAGAACGGUUUAGGGGAACGGAACCUCAGAAUCGUAUGGCUUAGUUUGGGUUUAGGUUGACCUUUAAGCUAAUUGGUAGUUGAGUAAACUGACCAAGGCUAAGGUGAUUCGACCAGACAAGUGUUAGAUUGGUUUUAGACCAAUGGUUAACUAGAGAAUAAUCUGCUGCGUAUCUGUUGAAAGGAUCUAAGCUAUUAAUGACUAGGGAUGUCUUUAUCUAAGGUUUAAGUUAGCCCUCGCCUUUAGGCGAUAUUAUAAAUUAAGGGCACAAAAUAAGAGGUUCGGCCAGGAAGUGUACCAGGCGAUGUAAGGUUUCGACCACGGCCUUGUCGGCCGGAUCAGGGUGUUACACCACCCACGUCGCCGCGAUCCGAACAUUUCACCGGAUCAUUCAAUUGGUAGGAGCGACAUGCGGUGUGUGCAAAGGGCGGGGACGUAGUUAAUGGGAGCUGAUGAAUUCCUAGGAAUUCCUCGUUGAAGACCAACAAUUGCAAUGAUCUAUCCCCAUCACGAUGAAAUUUCAAAGAUUACCCGGGCCUGUCGGUCAAGGUGUGAACUCGAUGAUUACGUCAGUGUAGUACGCGUGCGGCCCAGAACAUCUAAGGGCAUCACAGACCUGUUAUUGCCUCAAACUUCGUUGGCCUAAAUGGCCAUAGUCCCUCUAAGAAGCCGACCGUGAAGGGAUGCCUCCACGUAGCUAGUUAGCAGGCUGAGGUCUCGUUCGUUAACGAAAUUAACCAGACAAAUCGCUCCACCAACUAAGAACGGCCAUGCACCACCACCUAUAGAAUCAAGAAAGAGCUCUCAGUCUGUCAGUCCUUACUAUGUUUGGACCUGGUAAGUUUCCCCGUGUUGAGUCAAAUUAAGCCGCAGGCUCCACUCCUGGUGGUGCCCUUCCUUCAAUACCUUUAAGUUUCAGCCUUGCGACCAUACUCCCCCCGGAACCCAAAAACUUUGAUUUCUCAUAAGGGGCCAGCGGAGUCCUAAAAGCAACAUCCGCUGAUCCCUGGUCGGCAUCGUUUAUGGUUGAGACUAGGACAGUAUCUGAUCGUUUUCGAGCCCCCAACUUUCGUUCUUGAUUAAUGAAAACAUCCUUGGCAAAUGCUUUUGCAGUUGUUCGUCUUUCAUAAAUCCAAGAAUUUCAACUCUGACUAUGAAAUACGAAUGCCCCCGACUGUAACACCCCCGAACCGUCCUAGGCAUAGGUCGACCCACCGGCCAACAAUCAAACAAGAACAUGACCGACGGACGACCCACACCAAGGGUUGGAGAUGAAAGGCCAACCGGCCAGCCAACAAUCAAACAAGAACAUGACUGACCGUCCAACCCAACACCAUGGUCCGGAAGCGCUACGUGACGGGCUAGGGACAAUCCGGUCAGAGUCACAAACUUUACUCCACGACCUAGACCAGUUCAUCCACUAACUCGUCCCGCUGCGUCAAGGCAUAAGGCUUUGCAACCCGUACCUAGAGUUAGCGUUUUCCGUUAGAUCAAGGCCUAAGGCUUUUCAACCCGUACCUCGACCUAACGUUGUGUUAGACCGGACUAGUCAAAUAUCAGAGUACUCAUGAAGCGCAUAUAAAACAAUUACUUUUAUUGAUUCAAGAAAUAUUCAUACAUUGAAUAAAUCAAGACUGGGCCCGGCCUAAUGCCAAAUCGAGUCAACAUAACACAAUUCACAAUACCGUUUACAAAAGGCAUGAAAAUCUACACCGGCGGUCCUAACGUCCAGCACGAAGCUAUCCGAUCAUCCUUACCUAAAGCGACCUGCAAAAAGGACAACGGAGUUGGAUGAGUAAUCUAGUAUUACUCAGUGAGCUGGCGGCCUCUACCCGCAACCUAGACUCUACCCAGACAACCCAAAAUAACAAUCAAUCUAGCCCUAGCAUGCAAUAAAAGCUAAGGUUAAGCAAACCGUUACUAAGUUAGACUUGGCCUCCUGCCAUGAUCUAGCUUCAAGUAACGGGAACCUGCAUUAAAACAAGUCAACAAACAAUCCCUAGUUAACCAUAUAUACGCCUGAGUUCAAUACUCAUGUAGUGUUAGACACUUAGACUAUGCAAGUAUCAUUAAUCGAUCGACCAACAAUCAAACAAGAACAUUAUCGGCCAACCAAUGAUACCGCAUAGCUUUAAUAUCCACCACCCUUCACAAGCAAUCCCUCAAACACAUACAGGCCAACGUCAGGCCUACACUAACGAAAUACACAUCAAGCCUAAUCCGGUACCUAAACCAGACUUAGAACUUAAUGUCAUAACCUGCAAGCAAAUCAAUCAACCACAAUCACAAUAAUAACUAUGAGUAUCUACGACUCGAUCUAACUCGUAACACCGUAUAUUGGUGCUACACUGACUCGAGGGUUCCAUAACCCUCUACGACACUCUAACACAACACUCUAACCUGGGCCCUGGUGACUUCGUGUUCCUCCUCUAUCCUCGGCAAUAUCCUAUCUCCCUACCACAAAGGCCAGAAGAAGGAACUUUCAACCGAACGCGGCCCACAGUACGUUCGGGUCACCGCGCGACAGCCCCAGUACGUUCGGGCCACUGCCGGUUGUCACACGAUGAUUGCGGCCCACAGUACGUUCGGGUCACCGCAAGACAGCCCACAGUACGUUCGGGUCACUGCCGGUCACUACCCCGUCGUGCAACCACUCAGCCAUAGGCCAUGACCCCGUCUCUCUGAGUGUUCUCGAUCCAGCGAAUAAGGGGUUUCCUUAAACCCACUGGGUACGAGGUCGAGGAAACACUAAUCCACCUCAAACAUGCCUAGCAUUGUGGGUUAUACAAAUGCUAUAUGGCCAAUACACUCUAACUCUACAACACUAACAACAAUAUCAUCACUAAACAACUCAACCAGUUAGUCACUCCCUUACCAAGAGCUGACUAACCUCAAUCAACAAGCAUUAAUUAACAAGCAUGCAUUUAGUUAAAUCUACUCAAUCAAACCGUUACCCAGAUAGUCCAGCCUCCCACUGAGAAACUAUCUUUAAAGAUAACGGGAACCUGCACUCAACCAUAUCAACACGCAAGAAUAGAAAACAUGAUGCAUCCUAAUCUUAGUCCUAAUCAGGUUAUCAACUCAGUCUUAAUUCCAUUCAUCUCAGCUUAGCCCUUGCUAAACUGAGUCCGGUUCCAUAAAUAAAAUAACCCUAAGGACUCUACCAUUUAAUAGCGUGAUCAUUCUAAUCUAUAUGCAGACUCGAUCUACCCUAAAUUCCAAGUGGAAUUCAAACAAACCAACUCAUAGUGUUCUUGCAGCUGGUUGAUCGGAGAGAGCCUAGCCAAAACCCAAUGCCUCUGUCUUCAAUGGACUGGUAUGGACGAAUCAGGACUUGGACAGAACUUCCUCGGACUUCUGGAUCUUCUUCUCGGACUUUCGGUAGAACAAUGGCUCUUAAAAAUGCUCUAACUUCUUCAAAACAGCUCCAAAUCCUUCACUUCCUUUUUCUACUUCACUUUCUCUCUCUAGCCCAAGUUUUAGAGUGAUGUUUGAGUGUUUGGAAUGAAUGAAACGAGCUGGGGGAGCUGGGUUUAUAUAGAUAUGGCCAACCAUUGAAAUGGUGCCACUCCAUCGCCUGUGUGUCGUCCCGCAUGCUUCCGGUCGCAUGCGCGGCGACACACGGGCGUCCAAAUGUCACCAUGCAUGACUCCUCUGCAUGCCAGAAGCCAGCACCACGUCCAGAUGUCAUUCAGCAUGGCUGGAGCUCAUGCAUCGCGACACACGGGUCUCUGGGUGUCAAGACGAUGCCAUGUCGUGCUUUGGGUGUCAUGCUGCAUGUGAGGCUUCAUCCUGCGGAGACAUGUCGUGCUACGGAGACACUAAGAUGCUUGGAUGAAGGACAGCACGUCCUGAUCUCUCAGAUAGGGCCACCUCGAGCUUCCCGGUUGAUUUGUGCGAUUUCGGUCUUUCUGGUGAAUUUUCGUCCCGCGAUCAAUCCCGAAUAUUUUUCCGCUCCCGUUCUGAUUCUCUAAAUAUUUUUAAUAAACUCCAGAUGAAUACUGAGAUCCUCUAAAAAUAUUUCCCGAGCCUCCGGCUUCUUCCAAUAAUUUCGAAAAACCGAAAUUAGGGUUUUCGACCAACUUCGGGUUUUCCCGUCGUGCUUGCUUCCCGUCCUGCUUACUCCCGUCAUGCUUCCAAAUUAUAAUAUCUCUGAAAUAAUAUUCUGAUGAUAGAUGUGAAGUUUCGCGGAAAACUUAGUGGCUAAGAAACUUCGGGUUUCUGAAACGUCGAGCUUCUAAACCGUGGUGCUUCCAAAAAUGUGAUUCUUCCAAAAUCUUCGUCUGAUCAAUCUAAGACUCUUCUAAGAAAGGUAGAUCAGCUUAAUAUGUCUCAUGGUUCACUCACGAUCCAUUCUUAGACCACAUCCUACUUCGAACUUCUCGGUUGGCCCGUACCGCCCGCGGUUCGAUCAUCAAGUUGAUGCUCGACCAAUCUUCUGUCUUCUCCGAACCAUGUUAAGUUUUGUGUGAUCAAAACUCAACAUUACUCCAAAUAUGUAAUCUCCGAAAAGCUUGGCUCCAGAUUCUGACUUUUGCUCUCUCGACCAUUUUAUCCCAAAGGGCGGGUUAUCACAUUCUCCCCCCCCCCUUAAUAGAAUUCGUCCUCGAAUUCUUAGUUGCGCAAUUGCUUAGCUUCACGAAAUGUUCCUCCUUGAUGUGUAGUGAUGAUGUUCAGCUUUUGAAUAACUUCGUCUUGCGGUCUUGGUCAUAAGAUAUGGUUCUUUGCUGGCUCGCCUUUAUUUUGGUUUCUUUGGAUCUCCAUAAACACUUUGGAUUUUGAACUUGAUCCACCUUGAUAACAACUCCUCCAUAACUCCUCAUUACAUAACUUUGUGUUGAUCACUAGAUGUGCUUCUUUAUCGGUUGGCCUUAGAUAUCUCCCCUUGAUAUCUUCAGUCUUCUUCUAGAUUUUCUGAUUCUGAACUCGCUCCAUCUUAAUACAUCUCCAUGCAUUUCCUCGGUCUUGAAUCCUUUCAUUUCUUCACUUCUUGAUUUCUCAUGCUUCACUUAAUCUCAACUCGUCUUCAUAACUCUUUACUUUGCUUGCCCAUGACCCUUUGUGUAUACUGUCUAAAGUCGCCAUAAUCGUCUUCAUAUCUCUUCACUCUGCCUUUCACUGUCCCUUGAGUGUCCUUCCCAAUGUCACCACAAUCAUCUUCAUAAAUCUUCACUUGAAUGAUCAAUGCGUCUUCUUCUUAGUUUUUACUUUGCUGCCCAACGAAUUUCCCAUGAUACGAUCUUGCCAAUCUGCGCCUCUGAUUACUCCAACCAUUUCCUCGAUCUCUCAUUUCCCAGAUACUGAGGAAGUCCUUUCCCAACGAAGUCUUGUUUCUUCCCAUCUGCCCAGUCCAUACCACAGCCCAGUUCUCUGAAUCUGUCUCUCCUCUUUCGCUUCGGGUUUGGGUUUGGCCUCGAACUCCCUCCACUUUAAGGUUUUCAUCUCUUAAAGUUCCGAUCAACGAACACACUUACUCGCUGCAACUCAAAAGAACACUUAACAUGCAAGUUAGUAAUUAAUCACAUAAUCUACUAACCCAGAAAAUACUAACAAUGCAACCUAACCGCAAUUCUAACCAGCAACCUAAUAGUGGUACCCAAGCAACCUAGCAAUUCUAGAUUCCACUAUCUCAAUCCUAAUUCCUAAAACAAUAAAUCCUAAGCUGGACGUGACCGGUUUACCUAAUGCCUUUUGUGACUCUUUUUGACUCGAAAAAUAUUUGAAAACCGAUUAAAUCAUGAGUUCCAGAAGCAUGGACGAAACCAUGCUCUGAUACCACCUCUGUAACACCCCCGAACCAUCCUAGGCAUAGGUCGACCCACCGACCAACAAUCAAACAAGAACAUGACCGACGGACGACCCACACCAAGGGUUGGAGAUGAAAGGCCAACCGGCCAGCCAACAAUCAAACAAGAACAUGACUGACCGUCCAACCCAACACCAUGGUCCGGAAGCGCUACGUGACGGGCUAGGGACAAUCCGGUCAGAGUCACAAACUUUACUCCACGACCUAGACCAGUUCAUCCACUAACUCGUCCCGCUGCGUCAAGGCAUAAGGCUUUGCAACCCGUACCUAGAGUUAGCGUUUUCCGUUAGAUCAAGGCCUAAGGCUUUUCAACCCGUACCUCGACCUAACGUUGUGUUAGACCGGACUAGUCAAAUAUCAGAGUACUCAUGAAGCGCAUAUAAAACAAUUACUUUUAUUGAUUCAAGAAAUAUUCAUACAUUGAAUAAAUCAAGCCUGGGCCCCGCCUAAUGCCAAAUCGAGUCAACAUAACACAAUUCACAAUACCGUUUACAAAAGGCAUGAAAAUCUACACCGGCGGUCCUAACGUCCAGCACGAAGCUAUCCGAUCAUCCUUACCUAAAGCGACCUGCAAAAAG